ensembl:lncRNA
CUUAGCUGAUAUAUUUUGAUUUUCCCAUGAUGCCAAGCAAAGAGGCACUGAGUUUGAAGGUAGGCCUUGAAAUAAAUCCACAGGUACACCUCCACCUCCAAAUGAUGUUAAUUAGCCUGUCUGAAGCUUCUAAAGCCAUGACAUCAUUUUCUGGAGUUUUCCAAGCUGUUUAAAGGCACAGUCAACUUAGUGUAUGUACACUUCUGACCCAAUGGAAUUGUGAUACUUUGAAUUGUAAGUGAAAUAAUCUGCCUGUAAACAAUUUUUGGAAAAGUGACUUGUGUCAUGCACAAAGUAGAUGUCCUAACUGACUUGCCAAAACUAUAGUCUGUUUACAAGAAAUUUGUGGAGUGGUUGAAAAAUGAGUUUUAAUGACUCCAACCUAAGUGUACGUAAACUUCCGACUUUAACGGUAUAUACAUAAGGAAUACAUGCAAGUAGGUUACUAUACAGUGGGGCAAAAAAGUAUUUAGUCAGCCACCAAUUGUGCAAGUUCUCCCACUUAAAAAGAUGAGAUGAAAAAAUGAGAAGAAAACCCUCCCAGAAAAAUCACAUUGUAGGAUUUUUAAUGAAUUUGCAAAUUAUGGUGGAAAAUAAGCAUUUGGUCAAUGACAGAGGUCAAACGUUUUCUGUAAGUCUUCACAAGGUUUUCACACACUGUUGCUGGUAUUUUGGCCCAUUCCUCCAUGCAGAUCUCCUCUAGAGCAGUGAUGUUUUAGGGCUGUUGCUGGGUAACACAGACUUUCAACUCCCUCCAAAGAUUUUCUAUGGGGUUGAGAUCUGGAGACUGGCUAGGCCACUCCAGGACCUUGAAAUGCUUCUUACGAAGCCACUCCUUCGUUGCCCGAGCGGUGUGGUGGGAUCAUUGUCAUGCUGAAAGACCCAGCCACGUUUCAUCUUCAAUGCCCUUGCUGAUGGGAGGUUUUCACUCAAAAUCUCACGAUACAUGGCCCCAUUCAUUUUUUCCUUUACACGGAUCAGUCGUCCUGGUCCCUUUGCAGAAAAACAGCCCCAAAGCAUGAUGUUUCCACCCCCAUGCUUCACAGUAGGUAUGGUGUUCUUUGGAUGCAACUCAGCAUUCUUUGUCCUCCAAACACGACGAGUUGAGUUUUUACCAAAAAGUUAUAUUUUUGUUUCAUCUGACCAUAUGACAUUCUCCCAUUCUUCUUCUGGAUCAUCCAAAUGCUCUCUAGCAAACUUCAGACGGACCUGGACAUGUACUGGCUUAAGCAGGGGGACAC